ACAAACAAACAAACAAACAAACAAAAACACGAUCCCAGUACUGUUUGUAGUUGAAGUGCAAAUGACAGUUUAUUCCAGGUAAAGAACAAGGUGUACACAAAAAGACGUCACAGCGCGUUCAGGUCUCCAAGACACUGCAUACAGACUGCGUGCAGACUGCGUAGAUCCUGAAGAUCCACGUCCACAAUACACAUAAAAAUAAAAAAAAGAAUACACAUUGUAAGAUUAAAAAUAUAGGAAUGUAUUCAACUUGUCACAACCCCCUGUGCCGAAAGUGAUCAAAGACUAUUGUUACAGCUGUUUAUCCAAUACAGUGGGGGUUAAAGGUGGUCUUCUGAUUGGUCAGUUUGAAUGUAUUAUGUUGGGUUUGGUCAAGUACAGUGGGGGUUAAAGGUGGUCUUCUGAUUGGUCAGUUUGAAUGUAUUAUGUUGGGUUUGGUCAAGUACAGUGGGGGUUAAAGGUUAUCUUCUGAUUGGUCAAUUUGAAUGUAUCAAGUUAGGCUUAGUCACAUGGUCAAGAGAUAGAGGAUAAAGGUCAAGGUUUUUAUGAGCUCUGGGCCUUUGCAUUUUAGCUUUUGCCUUGCAUUGGCCUUUUUCCCUUUCCUUUCUUUCUUCGCCUAAGUUCUGGGGUUCGGGCCAUUAGGCCUAGAUUUCAGUUCUCAAGUGUGAAGCUCUUUCUUCUAAACUUUCUUUCUCUGUUCUCUAUCUUAUCAGGUAAUAUCUCACAUACAUUGGAAACAGUCAAUUGUUUGUAUUAUUUACCAUUUCAUGCAUUUAUAGUGUAACCAUUUCAACUGUAACUUUAAGUCAGUACUGUAAUUAAACUUUUUCAUUUACAAAUCUGUUGUUUAGUUUUGAUUUAGAGUUAAUACUUAAACGCUCCAUAUUGCAAUACAAUAUAUUUGUACUCUAGCAACGCUCUCAGACAUAUUGUGUCCGAAACCGGGGAACGAUUGCAGUUUUGUUCUCCUUCCGAAACCUGAGAUCCCUUACACACACUCGUAAAUAUAUUACAUAUAUACACUAAACUUCAAACAACAUACAACAAAUAUUACCAUAUUCAAGUUGGCCAUAAAGAUGCGAUUGUCUGUGUAAACGUGUGUGUGUAUGUGUGUGUAUGUGGCAAGAAUCACCAGGCAACUAACCCGAAUCCGUAGAUAGGCAUGCGUAGGGCUACCAAGCCAACGGAAACAUUCCCUUAGAUCCUCUUUCACAAAUGCCGUUUUAGAUCCUUUGCAAACACAUCUGAAACUAAACUUCGUGUCGCUAUGAUCUUCGAAAUCCAAACUCGGCAUGUACACAGAACCAAACACUCCGUCUCACAGCAGGCAGACCACACAGGUGACACACAGGCAAUAGAAGAGACUAUGGCGCAGCACUUCCGGAUGCGUGUGUCUCCCUUUCAUACCCUAUCGUCCUCUACUUCCGGUUCAUGGAGUAGUUCCCGGGUUAGAAAAAGCUAUUUUUUUUCCUUAGUGCUACAGUGUGAAAAAAUAAAUAAAUUGUGGCAAAUUUGCUGUACUGCCACAGCUUACUGCUACUAACUUUGUGCCUCCUUCUGUUUAUAGGCAAUGUUUUUAUUGUUGAAUUUCUAGCAACCCAAGAGGUUGAAGUGGUACCAGCAGUCUUGAGUUCAAGAUGAUGAAAUGUGCCAAUGGCCAUCUCACUAUAAAUCAGAUGAAUUAAUAAAAUCAAUACAACGUGAGGAAAAGCCUGGACACACAUGGGAUACAUAUCAUGUCAGAAUUUUAUACACAGCAGAACUGUGGCUCGAGAGAAACUUUGACUGUACCUGUGUGGUGUUGCUGGCUGGCAUCGGCCACCUCUUGCUCUCCAGGUGCCCAGUAAAUCCUGCUGCCCUUUUGUUUGGCAAAGCCACGGAGGAUAUUUAUGUUCCCGUUAUUAUCUGAGAUCUGAAGACGUUUCUGUUAUUUGUCCUUUGUAAUUGCUUAUUGGCUUUCCUGUGGCAAGCUAUUAAAUUACAUUGACUGCUAUCACUGCUUUUGGGUCCUUUCUACUCCUUAACAGAAUUCACAGAAUUUUUAUUUAUCUUAAGAGAGAAGUAUUUUUUAUAAAAAUGGGAACAUAGCAGCUAAAAUGAUUAAAGUAUUUUCACUAAAAUUGGCUAACUUGGAUCACAGCAUAAUGCAUCC